rnacentral:piRNA from 1 species
UGGGCACUUUUGGAGGGGGUCUCCUGCCAGUU